AUUUAUCUCAACAAAAAUGAUGUUAUGUAAUCUGCGUGGAGAAAAGCAAGCCGCUCCCGCCACGGAAAAUUCUGUGGCUAGGUGCAUUGAUAUCAUCCAUCUUCUUCCACGGUUUGCACCACCGUGUGAAUUAGGGUUGCUACUGAAUUCCACAACCUGGCCAACCAAACUAUGGCAACUCUGCAAUCUCUGUCACCUGCUUUCCGUCCAUCAAUUCCAGCCCCAAAUUCUCACGCUUUUCCGGCAGCCACUCCCUUUAAUUCUUCCCCCAAAUUCCUUGGCUCAAAGGGCCUCAGUAUCAGCCUCAGACACUCCAUAAUUUCUACAAGGGUUUCUAAUUCCGAGUAUAGUUCCCAAAUCGCGGAAACUCUCGGUGACGUUAGCAUUUUUACCGCUUCCGGCGAGCCAGUAAGGUUCAGUGAUCUCUGGGACCAGAACCAGGUCAGUAUACCUUCUAUUUGUUUGUAAAGGCUUUCAUCUUUAUCUCCUUUCGCACCCGUUCAUUACUCCAUCCUUGUUUGUUUUUUUUUUCUUUCUGUGGGGGUUUGAACUAAAUAACUAGUAUAAUUUGGUCUGAUUGGUUCUUACAUCGUGUGUCUGAUCUUUUCUAUUGCGUGUUUUAAUUUGAUGAAGCCAACAUGGGAGUGAACUAAUGGAAAUUAUCCGUUGGUUUUAUGAGCAAGGGUGAUUGAUAUGCUUCUAAUGCAAGCCUUACUGUGUAUUGGAUAUUCCGACAGGUUUUCAUAUCACGCACUGCAUCGAUAUUUCCAUGGUUUUGGUUGCAUUUUUAUAAUUCUCUUACUUUUAUUUUAUUAAAAUAUUUAUACCAAUGUCGAUUAUAAUACUGUGAGAAUUAGAUAUCUUUUGAAAUUUAUCAUGUCUAUAAUGAUUUCUUCUCCUUUUUAAAAUAUGAACUCUCUUCUGUAAUAUAAACUUUUUUGUAUUGAUUUUAGAUUAAUUCCGUAUGUUGUAUUAUAUUAGUCUUAAAUUAGUCUUAAUUCUUUCAGGGAGUAGCUGUUGUGGCACUCUUGAGGCACUUUGGAUGCCCGUGUUGGUAACUGAUCUCACGUUUAGUCAUCAAUUAAGACAUAUUUAUGUGAUAGUUCUUCUAAUUUAUGCCUUGUGGAAUCUUGUUAUAAGCUGGGAAUUGGCUUCAGCCUUGAAAGAAUCCAAAGAAAGGUUUGAUUCAGCUGGUGUCAAACUAAUUGCAGUGGGUAUUGGUUCUCCCAAUAAAGCUCGCAUGCUUGCUAAUCGAGUAAGUUCUGAGGCCUCCUUUGUCAUUAUGGCUUUUCCUGCCGAGGUCCAUGCUUUAGAAAGUAACACAAAAAUAAGUCAUUGUUUUAGGGUUAUUUGUUGGAGUUAUUUUUUGACAAUCAUUGUUCGUUAUAUUACCUUUUGUAAAGGACAUCCCUUGUUAGUUUAGGUGUGACAUUAGAUCAGGAAAGGUUGAUUCUGGUAAACUUUGAAGUCAACGAAGACUAAUUUUUAGUUAAGGUUUUGGAUUUGGGAUGACAAUUUAACCUAAACCCAAUUGAUACUUAUAAAAAGUACUUCCAAUGAAUGAGGUUUUGUUUAUCAAACGGCCCAGAGUUAAGUCUAGUUAAGUGAUACUUUGAAGGUCUGGGUUUGGACAUCAUAGUAGGCAACCUCCCGUUUUACCCACACUCUCAUAAGUUUAUAUUUGUUAUAUUUUAUAAUUAAGAUUUGAAAGAUCUUUCAAUCUUUCGUAAUUGAGUUGGAUGUUGAACUUUUGAGUUAAUGUUUUUUGUUUUAUUGGUUUUUCAUGGUUAAUUUAAAAUAAUAUUGUUGUUUCACCAGUUUGUAGAAAAAGGACAUUUUAAAAGAAAGUAUAUUCUAUAUAACUAAAAUGGAGAUGAUGGACUUAUAUCAUAUGCCCGUGUUUGUAUUACCUAUCAACUAUGGACACUAAAAUAGUUACCCUAUCUAAACCCACAGUAUCUAUCGUCGUCCCUUAAAGUAUCUAUCAUUCUAAUGAGAUUUAUUUUCAGUUGAUAGUCUCAAAACUCGAGUGUAUUUCAAUUAAGUGGUCUGUGAUUUAAAUUUAAAUCCGUUUUAUUGAAGAUUCACCCUUUGUGUUGCUUAUUGACUCAAGCUUAGCAGUGGAAUGGUAAUUUUUAUCUUAACCAGGCACAGAGUUUCAAUCUCUGUUUGAAUUUUGAAGACUUCAUGUAAAUGAACAAUUUGUAUAAUAUUGAUAUGAACAUGUUCGUGAUAUCAGGACUGAUAUUUUUGUCUUUUUGUUUUUUUCUUUAGUUACCAUUUCCAAUGGAUCUUCUUUAUGCUGAUCCGGAUCGCAAGGUAAAAUAUGCUGGGAUGGCUACCCACAUAACUCAUCUUUUAGUUGAAUAUUAACCAAUUUGACAUUCCUUCAGGCAUAUGAUGUUUUGAACCUUUACUAUGGUUUUGGCCGAACUUUCUUCAAUCCAGCCAGUGUAAGCUCAGCCUCUAACAUCUUUAAAGUUACAUUUAUUUUUUGGAAGCAUUUGUAAUUUAUGCAUGUAGAACUGCUGAUUAUACUUUUUAACCAUACAUUUGAUAUGACAGACAAAGGUGUUUUCUAGAUUUCAUGCUCUACAGAAAGCUGUCAAGAACUAUACAAUUGAAGCCACUCCAGAUGAUAGAAGUGGUGUGUUGCAGCAGGUUGAUACAUUAAUCUGACAGCAAAAACGAUGAAAGCAAUAUUAUGCAUAUUGUAUCCCCUGAAAUACUGAUCCUUUCUUUUUGUCAGGGAGGGAUGUUUGUGUUCAGAGGAAAAGAACUGCUGUAUGCGAGGAAAGACGAAGGGACAGGUGACCAUGCCCCCUUAGAUGAUGUUUUUAAUGUCUGUUGCAAAGCUCCUGUUGCCUAAAGAAGUAAAAAUUUGCAUAGUUUAGGAAAUAGUAGACGAGAUUUCCCUGAAUGUUAUCGGUGACAACAUAUUGCGUGUAAGGUAUGAUUAAACGUUAUUUACACAUAUUAUAAAGUCAAAUAUAUACAUAAACUCAAUUUCAGUAGUAAAAGUAGAUAUAGAAGUGGUGAUUGUAAUAUACUAGUCCGAAACCCGGGCAUAUGCACGGGUCCUUUUUUUUUUUUUUUGUAAUUUAUGUUCAGAAAAUUAACAUAAUUAUUAAUAUAUUUAAAUAAAUAAUUUAUUUAUAUAAGUAUAUUUAAGUUUUAUAAUUAAUUAUUAAUGUAAUGUUUGAUUGCUUUAAGUUGAUUUUGUAUUAAACGGACUAUAUUACAAUAAUGUAAGAUACUUUGUCAGUAACUGAUUUUGUGUAUGAAUUUUUCGGGUGAUUAUUUUUUUUUUCAACUUGUGUUGGAAAGUUAAUUAAUUAUUAUUAUAUUUAAAAAGUAAUUUAUUCACAUAAUUAUGUUUAAGUGUUAUAAAUAUAAUAUUUAAAUAAAGAGUUUGAUUAUAUUGAUUGAAAUAAAAUUAUUAAUCAAUAUUAUUACAGCAUAUAUUUAAAUAUUUAAUAAUACCUUACGAAUAGUUAAAUUUAUAACAAAAAUUAAAUGGGUGUAUAUUUAUAAAUUUGUAUAAUAUCAAUACUAAUACUACUAAUAGUAAUAAUAAUAUUAUAAUUAAAUAAUAAUACUAAUAAAAAUAUUACUAUUACAAGUGAAGGGAAAAAGUGAAGAGAGGGAGUCUAGAUUCAAAAUCGUACUAAUUUUCCUAUAAAUUUCUACAAAAACCUCUACCUAUUAAUAUAUUUGGAAUAAAUUCAAGAAGUUAUUACUUCACUCUUUGGCAUUGUAUUGAAUAUUGUCUCACAAUAUAUGAACCCAUCACCCCAUUUCACUCUCUGACAUUGUAUUUAUUGUAUCACAAUAUACGAACCCAUCAGGUUCUUUGGACGCCGCUCUUGCUUCAACAAAUUAAAUUAACUAAAAUAACAUUACGUUUAAAAAUUAAAAAGUUUUACAAUUUAUUAUAAUUUGAUAAUUUUAAAUUAAUAUUAUUUUAAAAAUAUUAAACUAGUUUACUUUAAAUUUCAAUCCUAAAAUUAUAAUUAAUCUUAACAAAAAUGAUGUUAGGAUAUGUGCGUGGAGGGCUCUCGCCACGGAAAUUUCUGUGGCUCUGUUCGUUGACAUCAUCCUUCUUCUUCCACGGUUUGCAUCACCGUGGGAAUUAGAGUUGCUAUUGAAUUCCAAGACUUCGCCGAGCAAACUAUGGCAACUCUGCAAUCUCUGUCACCUGCUUUCCGUCCAUCAAUUCCAGCCCCAAAUUCUCACGCUUUUCCGGCAGCCACUCUCUUUAAUUCUUCCCCCAAAUUCAUAUGCUCAAAUGGUCUCAGUGUCAGCCUCAGACAUUCUAUAAUUUCUCCAAGGGUUUCCAAUUCCCAGUAUAGUCCCCAAAUAGCGGAAACUCUCGGUGAUGUUAGCAUUUUUACCGCUUCCGGCGAGUCAGUAAGGUUCAGUGAUCUCUGGGACCAGAACCAGGUCAGUAUGCCUUGUAUUUAUAUGUAAAUGUUUUCAUCUUUACCCGUAUCACACCCCUUUAUUACUCCAUCCUUGUUUGUUUUGUUCUUUAUGCGGGGGGUUUUAACUAAAUAACUAGUUUAAUUUUGUAUGAUUAGUUCUUGCAUUAUGUGUCUGAUAUUUUCUAUUGCGUGUUUUAAUUUGGUGAAGUAAACAUGAAAGUGAACUAACGGAAAUUAUCCGUUGGCAUUUAGGGUGAUUAAUAUGCUUCUAAUACUAGGCUUACUGUAUAUUGGAUAUUCGGAUAGGUAUUCACAUUACGCACUGCUUCGAUGUUUCACAUGGUUUUGGUUGCAUUUUUAUAAUUUUCUUACUUUUAUUUAUUAAAAUAUUUAUACCGAUGUCGAUUAUAAUACCGUGAGAAUUAGAUAUCUUUUGAAAUUUAUCAUGUCUAUAAUGAUUUCUUCUCCAUUUUAAAAUAUGACUUGUCUUCUGUGAUAUAAACUUGUUAUGCUAAUGUCAGAUUAAUUGCGUAUGUUGUAUUAGAUUAGUCUUAAUUCAUGCAGGGAGUAGCUGUGGUGGCACUAUUGAGGCACUUUGGAUGCAUUUGCUGGUAACUGAUCUUCAGCUAAUCAAGAUUUGUUUGAGAGAUAGCAUUUCUAAUUUAUGCCUUGUCUGUUAUUGUUAAAAGUUGGGAAUUGGCUUUGGCCUUGAAAGAAUCGAAAGAAAGAUUUGAUUCAGCUGGUGUGAAGCUAAUUGCCGUGGGUGUUGGUACUCCCAAUAAAGCCCGCCUUCUUGCUGAAAGAGUAAUUUCUCUGUCCACCUUUGUCAUUUUGCUGUUUUCCUGUAUGCUCUAAAAACAAAGCUAGACAUAUAGGACAUACAAGUAAUCUGCGGUUCGUAUUAGUUUAGGCGAGACAUUAGCUAUGGAGAGAUAGAUUCCUAUAAAAGCUUGGAAUCGACUAAUGCUAAUUUAGGUGAAGGUUUUUAGAUUGGAUGACAGAUCAUUGAUAAUCAUAAAAAUCACUUAGAAUGAAAUAUCUUUCGCUGUUCUGUAAAUAAGUUAGAUUGUAAGAAGUUUAAAUGAGUGCCUUUUGAAGUUUAUUUUUAGGAAACUAUAUUCAUAAAUAUUAAAUUACAUUCAUACCUCUUUAUUAAAAUUUGAAUUAGAAUAUUUAUUUUUAAAUAUGUGUGAUAUUUAGAGCUGUCAAACGGGUAACCUGGCUCGACCCGGCCCGAUCCACCACGGGAUGGUCACUUAGUGAGCCAACCCAAUCCGGCUCAUUUAUUAGCGAGCUAGAAAAAUCUGAACUUGACUCGACCCACCACGGGUUGAUGGGUAAACAGG
rnacentral:lncRNA from 1 species